AGCAAUUUACACAAUUCAACACAGUGUUAACCGGUUAACACCCUGGGUUAACCGGUUAACGCAAGACAGAAGCUGUUCCUGCGCUAACACAAGGCAGAAUGCAGAAUUUUCCGCAUUUUCCGCCGUGGAGGACUUCCGGACCUCCGAUUCCAAUUCCGUAAAAAGCUAUACGUUCGGAAAUUCACAACUAACUCAAACACAAAUUCAAUUACAGCCUAAACACAAUUUAUCCAACAUAAUUUU
rnacentral:lncRNA from 1 species